rfam:Phytophthora infestans T30-4 supercont1.8 genomic scaffold, whole genome shotgun sequence.
GCUACCAUAACUUAGAGGUAAAAUCCUCGGCUCAUAACCGAGAGGGCGGUGGUUCGAUCCCACCUGGUAGUA